CCUACGGGAGGCUGCAGUGGGGAAUAUUGGACAAUGGGCGAAAGCCUGAUCCAGCCAUGCCGCGUGUGUGAAGAAGGCCUUCGGGUUGUAAAGCACUUUCAGUGGGGAAGAAAGCCUUGGGGCUAAUACCCUCGAGGAAGGACAUCACCCACAGAAGAAGCACCGGCUAACUCCGUGCCAGCAGUCGCGGUAAUACGGAGGGUGCGAGCGUUAAUCGGAAUUACUGGGCGUAAAGCGCGCGUAGGCGGUCUGAUAAGCCGGUUGUGAAAGCCCCGGGCUCAACCUGGGAACGGCAUCCGGAACUGUCAGGCUAGAGUGCAGGAGAGGAAGGUAGAAUUCCCGGUGUAGCGGUGAAAUGCGUAGAGAUCGGGAGGAAUACCAGUGGCGAAGGCGGCCUUCUGGACUGACACUGACGCUGAGGUGCGAAAGCGUGGGUAGCAAACAGGAUUAGAUACCCUGGUAGUC
rnacentral:rRNA from 1 species